rnacentral:misc_RNA from 1 species
GAAAUGCGAUAAGUAAUGUGAAUUGCAGAUUUCAGUGAAUCAUCGAAUCUUUGAACGCACCUUGCACUCCUUAGUAUUCUGAGGAGUAUGCCUGUUUGAGUGUCAUUGAAUAUUCUCAAUGUUAUUGGAAUUUGGGGUAUGCUUUUGGCUACUCUUAAAUGUUUUUUAAAAGCUUCAAUUGAUAACGAUUUAUUGAAGGCUUUUUUCCUUGACCCUUGACCUCAAAUCAGGUAGGACUACCCGCUGAACUUAA